CACCCCAGAAGGGUCAGCUCUAAGCAGAAAGUCAUUGUUGACAGGAAGAGGGGUCAGACUUUCCCUUUUCCGGCCAGCUUCCUGGGUACCAAAAUAGCAACGCGGCACAACAAAGAGUUGGGGCGGUGGAGGCCUCCCAAAUGGGCUGGAGGACACACCGACCCCACCCCAUGCUGCCCACCCGCCUGUGGGAUCCACCAUGCCACAUGACAGCCAGCCUGACAGCACCAGUCGCUGGUGAGUCUGGUAGCCCUGGAAACCCUCUCACAGCCAGCCGAGAUGUGAGGGACACAGAGAGAGGAGGUGCCAUUUCAGACCCCUAUGCCUGGCACGUUGGGGUGAGAAGGACACACCAGUCAGAGCUGGUUCUGAGGCUCGCAUCCGGAGGGAGAUCCUGGAACCAGGGCUGAGGCUCGCAUCCUGAGGGACAUGCUGGAACCAGGGGGCAUCCGAGUUGGGGACACAGUCUGGGAAGGUGUCUAAAGGAAGUGAGAAUUGAAGGAGGGACAGAGCGCUACCCAGAAGGGCAUAACUAGAGGCUGGGACCAGGUCAGGAAACAUGUCCCUCAGGUGUAGAAGCUGCAAGUGAGAAACCAACGUGGUAGGAACCUCAGCAGGCUGGCUCCAGCUCCAGAAGCUGUUGGAGUUGAGGAUUUGUUCUCUGUAGAGGAGCAACAUCACCUGUGUAGUCUGGUUCCUAGGCUAGGCCAUCCUCUAGAAUUCUGUGUGAGCCAGAAUGUUCAACUAAUAAGAGAAGGCUGCACAUUGUGGGUGGAGAGCGGGAAAGAGAGGGGGCUUGCAGCAUCUGCAGGGGCCAGAAACUACAUGCACAGAGAAGCUUUCUCAAUCGGAAAAGAGCUUAGGAAACAUUGAACUGGAGAACAACGGAAGCAAACCUGUGUCCGGGAGUGGCUCCAGUGAAACCCACCUCUUUCUCUGUGUAUGGAAUUCCAAACACCCGUUGUACAGGAGGAAGCAGCUACAGAUCGUCCUACUCACCAGCUGGGUGGCACCACCGGCUUUAAGUAAUGGGUAAACUGGCUCAAGCAAGCCUGGGACUCAGAGACAGAUGUGCGAAGCAGAGAUGUUGCCAUGCCUAGGCUGAGGGCUUUCAGCCAAUCGGUGAGGGGAAUGGAGGAGAAAGGAGAGAGGGGUGUUGGGUUGAGGGCCGGGAUGUUAAGAAAAGGAUUGUAUCCUGGGAGAUGGGCUAAGGAUCAAGAGGAUGAGGAGAAACACCCCCUCCCACAGCCUCUGCAGCACCCAGAGUUGCAAGAUCCAAAGAGAUGUUCCUUUCUGUCCUCUCUUUGCUGUCCCCCUCCCCUCCUGGCCCUCCCAGCAUUGCAGACCCUUGCCUCUGGUUUGCAGCUGGGCUAAGGGCAAAAGCAGAAGCAAGAGCCUGAGCUGCUUUUUCCUGCCUGGAUUUCUGUUCUUGCAGUUGCCACAGAGCUGGCUCCUUCUCAUCAUGCUAGUCUUGGCUUAAACGUUACAUCCUCCAAGAGGCCUUUGCUGGCCACCGCAGUGACGUAUUCCACCCUGACAUCACUAUCACAGUCCCUGCUUUAGUUUUAAGACAGCACUUACCACGAACUGGUAUUUUCUCUCGUUUCCUUGUUUAUUUUUGUCUCUGCCAUCUAGAAUGGAAGCUCCCCGAGAGCAGGAACCUUGUCUGUGUUGUUCAUGGCUAUAUCCCCAGCACUCAGAACAGGGCCUGGCACAGAGUAGGUGCUCAAAUAUUUAGUUGAUUCAUGAUGAAUAAUAAUUGCUAACAUUGGUUGAGUGUUACUACAUGACAAGUACUUAUUUCACAUAUUAACUCAUGGGCCAGUGAGCUAUAGGCCUCUGGGCAAAUCCAGCUCCCUGCUUGUUUUUAUAAAUACAUUUUAUUGGAA
ensembl:lncRNA novel transcript